rnacentral:tRNA from 1 species
AUGGCUCAGAGGGUAAAGCAUCUGCCUGCAAUGCAGGAGACCCCAGUUCAAUCCCUGGGU